GAACCAUUAAUUGAUUAUUGGAGCAGAUAACCAGCAACUUGUACUGGUUGGUUUUUACACAUUUUACAAAUUAUACAAUAUGAUUUAUCAAGACAAAGUCUUCUGUAAUCAGACUAGUUAUUGUUGGAUUUGAAUUGAAAAAACGUAAUCUGACACGUCUGUCUGAUGAAGGGUUAGGGGGAAGAUGACGGCCCUCUUAAUAAUCUCUGUGGAGUUGAAUUAAUCACAUAUUUAUUUUCCACAAGCUGAAAUAAAAGGUGACAAUGGUGACAUUGUUUUAAAAUCUGAUGAGUGAGCUUGAUGAUAAUGGCCAGAUGUGCACCGCCGCAAAUGAUUUACACAUUUUCUCAUUUCAUUUGGAUCAUGUUUUAUAUCCGCUGCAUGACACAUUCCUCCUUCGGGAACAACACAUCUGAAUUUUAGAUGCCAAUGUACAGUAUGUUUUCAUCAGGAAUAAAAUAGAACACAGGGGCUCUGCAGAGAUUUGGCCCCGAUACCGCCUUCAGUCAGCAUCUGUAUUAUACUUGCGUUUUGAGAAUGUUCAGAACGACGCGUGUUACGCUCCGUUUGUCAUUUGAGUAACACUCGCCGCCUAUGAAAUAUUGACUGUGCUGCUGAGCGAUCGUUAAUUCAUUCAGUCAGUGUGUGCGGCUCGGACUGCGUCGUGAGGCUUUAAUGCGCAGGAGGCCUCCGUCUCUACGCACCUCGUCCACGAAUUCACAAAUGAUGACAUCAAAUCUGGCCUUUGUCUUUACAGAUUACUUAAAGAAGACACGAACGCAACAUGAUGAUAAACCUGCAUCUUGCAUCACUCAGCAAAUGGAUUGGAGCAAAAUUUGGAUUCAAAUUGUUACUGAUUGGCAUGAAUUGAAGACAUUGACCGAGUGGAUCACCACAACUAGACCCACGUGUGUCAAUCACUGCUGUUGCCAGUCUGGAAGUACUGCAGAGGCUCAGCAGAUUGGAGGAAGCUGCCGUGAAAAGUCAAGCUCUCCAGCUGCUACGGCAUGUCCCCCACUACGUGCACGGCUGUUCUCUGACAGCGUCUGUCCGCUGUUCGGUGCUGGGCAGGUGGCACACAGAGUGUUACCCGCUGUCGCUGAAAAAAUUGGCGUGGUGAGAGGAGUGGGAGUGAACCAAAACAGAGACGAAACUGACACUCUCUAGCUCUGGGAAGCCAAGUGAAGCUGCGGAGAAAGGUGAUCAUUUCCUGUAUUUUUUUUAAUUCUCUAUGUGUAUUUCCUUUUGUAUUUGAUUAACUGUUGUAUUUAAUUAGUUAAAUAUUGGUCACGGCGGCUAUGAUUAACAGCAAUUUGAGUGGCGAGUUGGGGUAAAAGAGGCCUUCUACACAUAACCAAAGGACAUCUGAUGAAGUGGAAAUAUUGAUCAAUGCAGCCUUACAGCAGAUUUAUUGUUCUCCUGUUGAAUAAUGUAAUCGCUGGCACGUCUAUGUCGCAGGCCCUGGAGUUUACAGACCGAUACAGAGGGCGAACAGGCAAAAAACCAUUCUGUCCGUAACUGAAGAAGAUGAGUCAGCCCUGAGUCC